rnacentral:lncRNA from 1 species
AAAGAUAAGUUGGGGAGAACGAAAAUGAGAAUCGGUAGGUGCCACAACUCUUGAAUAACCGAGCAAGCAUUGAAAAAAAAUAUUAGAAAAGAGAAACAUCUGUUUUGUGAAUAUGAUGUGAAAAAAAAAUAAAGAAAAUGAAAAUGAAUGCUUGCUUGGAAGAAAAAUAGUGAAAAACAAAAUUGAGCUGUGAAAUAAGAGUUGUGAAGGUUUCAAAUGAGAAACAAGUGGAACGAAGUUGAGAU